AAUGAACGCUGGCGGCAUGCCUUACACAUGCAAGUCGAACGGCAGCAUGACCUAGCUUGCUAGGUUGAUGGCGAGUGGCGAACGGGUGAGUAAUGCAUCGGAACGUGCCUUUUAGAGGGGGAUAACGUAGCGAAAGUUACGCUAAUACCGCAUAUUCUCUGAGGAGGAAAGCAGGGGACCUUCGGGCCUUGCGCUAGAAGAGCGGCCGAUGUCGGAUUAGCUAGUUGGUGAGGUAAAGGCUCACCAAGGCAACGAUCCGUAGCGGGUCUGAGAGGAUGAUCCGCCACACUGGGACUGAGACACGGCCCAGACUCCUACGGGAGGCAGCAGUGGGGAAUUUUGGACAAUGGGCGCAAGCCUGAUCCAGCCAUGCCGCGUGAGUGAAGAAGGCCUUCGGGUUGUAAAGCUCUUUCGGCUGGGAAGAAAUCGCACCCUCUAAUACAGGGUGUGGAUGACGGUACCAGCAUAAGAAGCACCGGCUAACUACGUG
rnacentral:rRNA from 1 species